GUGAAUAAAAAAGAACAUGGCAGCAGGUGAAAAUAAAAUAUAAAAAUAUUGUUCAGAAUGCUGCCAAAAAGAAGAGUGAGGUUGCUGGCACUGGGGGAGGGCCACCAACAGCCAACUUUACUCCUGCAGAGGAGCUGGCAUUAGACCUGAAUAAAGGGAGGCCUGUCAUUGAGGGAAUAGAGGGGGGAACAGCAUCUGGAUCCAUUCCAUCCAGUAUAAGAGAUCACUACUUAAAAGGUAUUUUGUUUAUUUUAUUUAUUUUUAUUCUUGCAUUCCUAACUAAAUCUUUUUGUUUUAUAGUGAUGCCAAAUUCUGUGUGCUUUCUGGAUCCACCAGACAUCAUGCUGAACCCUGUUGAAGGCCCAUCUACAGUUGAGGAGGAUGAAGAGACUGUGUCAGUAUGUUCAAGGAGGCCUGAGGAUGCUGACACCCUUCUAGAGCCCUCUCAGUCUGGGAACACAUGUGACCAAGU